rnacentral:rRNA from 1 species
GGGGGGGGGGGGGGGGGGGCGGGGCAGGGGGGGGGCGGGGGGGAGGGCCCGGCUGGUGGGGGGUGCUCGAGUGGCGAACGGGUGAGUAACACGUGAGUAACCUGCCCGUGGCUUUGGGAGAACUUCAGGAAACUGGGGCUAAUGCCGGAUCGGAGCUCCUGCUGCAUGGUGGGGGUUGGAAAGUUUCGGCGGUUGGGGAUGGACUCGCGGCUUAUCAGCGUGUUGGUGGGGUAGUGGCUUACCAAGGCUUUGACGGGUAGCCGGCCUGAGAGGGGGACCGGCCACAUUGGGACUGAGAUACGGCCCAGACUCCUACGGGAGGCAGCAGUGGGGAAUAUUGCACAAUGGGCGGAAGCCUGAUGCAGCAACGCCGCGUGCGGGAUGACGGCCUUCGGGUUGUAAACCGCUUUCGCCUGUGACGAAGCGUGAGUGACGGUAAUGGGUAAAGAAGCACCGGCUAACUACGUG